CUAAAAAAUGGUGCUUUUGAGAAAAACUGAGGGUUACUUUUAUUUGUAUUUGGCAAGAAUUGACAUUAAUCUUUUAUAAGACAUUAAUCUUUAUAUGUGAC